AUUCCCAUCUUGCCCAAUUAUGAACAUUCGUGCAGUCCUUGGCUACUGCCCAGAAAGAGCUCCUGCUGGCAGAGCUGCCCCUCCCGCCAGCGGGCGGAGGCCUCACCCCAGCCCAGGAAUCCUUUGGCAAUGAACCUAAUUCCUCUUCCGUUCUUUCCCAUCCCAUAUGCUCUGACCUCUAACGCUGCCUACCCCAAAGCAGCAGGAAGAGAAAUGCCAGGUGCCUUCCUAGACAACCUGAUCCCUCUUUUGUCUCUGGCAUCCCAGGAAGCCAAACCCCUGAAAGAGCAGCCGAGCACGGGCUUCACGGAGAGCAAGUCUGCACGCAGGAAGCAAGCGUCGCGGCAGGGACCCUCAGAGCCCACGUGCAUGCCAGCUUCCUGCCAUCAGGCUUUCUGGGGUGCUCCCUGAAGUCUAGGGAAGGACCAAGAGAAUCCCGCAGAUGCCGUCCAGAAACCCUGUCUAAACCCCAAAUCGCUGGACCCAGAGGACAAUGCUGCCAGAGCCCAGAGGCUGCCUGCCAGCUCCACUGCCGCCCAGAGCGACGUCUGAUUCCCUCCCCUGCGACGGGAACCUUCCCUCCUAGAAUCCUGGGUCUGAACCACAUCAGUGCCUGAGAAGCAAAAAAUCAGAGUCCCCAUCCCAGCCUGAAAGUGUCCGAGGCCCUCCAGACGGGCAGCUACCCUCUGAGGCCACAGAGGGCUGACUGGGGCAGUGGGGCGUUGGCCCGUUCCCGCGAGCUCCUGCCAUGCUCGUGUGCUCACACUCAACACCUAUGCCACCAUCACAGGCAGCCGCAUUUGCUAAAGCAAAUAAAUCUGCUGUUCAGUUCAUUCAAUAACACAACAAUGAAGAAAACCUUUUGAUGUUAAAGCAGAUAAACUCUCAUUUUGCUGUCCCCCCAGUCACUGAAACAAGACGGUAGGGCCCACUGGAAAUGGUCAGGCUGAGGCCCGUUAGCAGGGGACACAUCCAGGCCAGUCAGGCCGCUGGGUCCAGACAGGGUGAGCCCCAGCUGCACGAGGGUCCCAAAGACUCAGGGUCCCUGAAUCGAGAGUCCUCGUAGGCAAAAAAGAAAUGCUUUUCUAGCAGAGCUGUUGUCAUCAUGAAACAAGCUGGGAAACAUCUGACACAGGUGGACGUCCCCACGUAUGUGACGGUGCUGCAGACGGUCGCCCCCAGACCCCGAUACUGGCCUAGCUCUGCCUGAACCCUGGCUCUGCCACAUACAGCUGUGUAGUCUUGCCCCACCUCGCCCCAUCUCAGUGUCCCCAGAUGCAAAGGGGAUGAUGUCCUAGCAGGCGAGGAGUAAUAAGUUGACACAAAGCACCCUGAACAGUACCCGACCCAGUCUUAUUUGAAAUUUCUGCCAAGGUUCUUUUAACCUGCUUUAAUAAAAGUCGUAUUUAACAUUGAAUAAGCCUGC
rnacentral:lncRNA from 1 species